AUUGAACGCUGGCGGAAUGCUUUACACAUGCAAGUCGAACUGCAGCACGGGGCAACCCGGUGGCGAGUGGCGAACGGGUGAGUAAUACAUCGGAACGUGCCCAAUCGUGGGGGAUAACGUAGCGAAAGCUACGCUAAUACCGCAUACGAUCUACGGAUGAAAGCGGGGGAUCGCAAGACCUCGCGCGAAUGGAGCGGCCGAUGGCAGAUUAGGUAGUUGGUGGGGUAAAGGCUCACCAAGCCGACGAUCUGUAGCUGGUCUGAGAGGACGACCAGCCACACUGGGACUGAGACACGGACCAGACUCCUACGGGAGGCAGCAGUGGGGAAUUUUGGACAAUGGGCGCAAGCCUGAUCCAGCCAUUCCGCGUGCAGGAUGAAGGCCUUCGGGUUGUAAACUGCUUUUGUACGGAACGAAAAGGCUCUGGUUAAUACCCGGGGCUCAUGACGGUACCGUAAGAAUAAGCACCGGCUAACUACGUGCCAGCCGCCGCAGUAA
rnacentral:rRNA from 1 species